UACGUAGGGGGCAAGCGUUGUCCGGAUUUAUUGGGCGUAAAGAGCGUGUAGGCGGCCAGACAAGUCUGCUGUGAAAACUCGAGGCUCAACCUCGAGCUGUCGGCGGAAACUGUCUGGCUAGAGUCCGGAAGAGGAGAGUGGGAAUUCCUGGUGUAGCGGUGAAAUGCGCAGAUAUCAGGAAGAACACCUAUGGCGAAGGCAGCUCUCUGGGACGGUACUGACGCUGAGACGCGAAAGCGUGGGGAGCGAACAGG
rnacentral:rRNA from 1 species